GACGUAGGGCGCGAGCGUUGUCCGGAAUUAUUGGGCGUAAAGAGCUCGUAGGCGGCUUGUUGCGUCGGCCGUGAAAACCUGCAGCUUAACUGUGGGCUUGCGGUCGAUACGGGCAUCACUGGAGUUCGGCAGGGGAGACUGGAAUUCCUGGUGUAGCGGUGAAAUGCGCAGAUAUCAGGAGGAACACCGGUGGCGAAGGCGGGUCUCUGGGCCGAUACUGACGCUGAGGAGCGAAAGCGUGGGGAGCGAACAGG
rnacentral:rRNA from 1 species